rnacentral:rRNA from 1 species
UACAGAGGUGUCAAACGUUGUCCGGAAUUACUGGGCGUAAAGGGCGCGUAGGCGGCCUUAUAAGUCAUUUGUGAAAGCUCUGGGCUCAACCCAGGAAUUGCAAGUGAUACUGUAAGGCUUGAGUUCGGUAGAGGAGGGCGGAAUUCCAGGUGUAGCGGUGAAAUGCGCAGAUAUCAGGAGGAACACCGGUGGCGAAGGCGGUUCUCUGGGCAUUACCUGACGCUGAGGAGCGAAAGUGUGGGGAGCGAACAGG